rnacentral:rRNA from 1 species
UGCCAGCCGCCGCGGUAAUACGGAGGGGGUUAGCGUUGUUCGGAAUUACUGGGCGUAAAGCGCACGUAGGCGGAUUAGAAAGUUAGAGGUGAAAGCCCCGGGCUUAACCUGGGAACUGCAUUUGAAACUGGUAAACUAGAGUAUGGUAGAGGAAAGUGGAAUUUCUGGUGUAGCGGUGAAAUGCGUAGAUAUUAGGAGGAACACCAGUGGCGAAGGCGACUCUCUGGGCCAAUACUGACGCUGAGGUUCGAAAGCGUGGGGAGCGAACGGGAUUAGAUA